rnacentral:rRNA from 1 species
CCUACGGGUGGCAGCAGUGGGGAAUAUUGGACAAUGGGGGCAACCCUGAUCCAGCCAUGCCGCGUGUGUGAAGAAGGCCCUCGGGUUGUAAAGCACUUUCAGUGAGGAAGAACGCCUGGUGGUUAAUACCCAUCAGGAAAGACAUCACUCACAGAAGAAGCACCGGCUAACUCCGUGCCAGCAGCCGCGGUAAUACGGAGGGUACGAGCGUUAAUCGGAAUUACUGGGCGUAAAGCGCGCGUAGGUGGCUUGAUAAGCCGGUUGUGAAAGCCCCGGGCUCAACCUGGGAACGGCAUCCGGAACUGUCAAGCUAGAGUGCAGGAGAGGAAGGUAGAAUUCCCGGUGUAGCGGUGAAAUGCGUAGAGAUCGGGAGGAAUACCAGUGGCGAAGGCGGCCUUCUGGACUGACACUGACACUGAGGUGCGAAAGCGUGGGUAGCAAACAGGAUUAGAUACCCGUGUAGUC